GAAGGGAAACCGAGUCUUAACCGGGCGUUAAGUUGCAGGGUAUAGACCCGAAACCCGGUGAUCUAGCCAUGGGCAGGUUGAAGGUUGGGUAACACUAACUGGAGGACCGAACCGACUAAUGUUGAAAAAUUAGCGGAUGACCUGUGGCUGGGGGUGAAAGGCCAAUCAAACCGGGAGAUAGCUGGUUCUCCCCGAAAGCUAUUUAGGUAGCGCCUCGUGAAUUCAUCUCCGGGGGUAGAGCACUGUUUCGGCUAGGGGGCCAUCCCGGCUUACCAACCCGAUGCAAACUGCGAAUACCGGAGAAUGUUAUCACGGGAGACACACGGCGGGUGCUAACGUCCGUCGUGAAGAGGGAAACAACCCAGACCGCCAGCUAAGGUCCCAAAGUCAUGGUUAAGUGGGAAACGAUGUGGGAAGGCCCAGACAGCCAGGAUGUUGGCUUAGAAGCAGCCAUCAUUUAAAGAAAGCGUAAUAGCUCACUGGUCGAGUCGGCCUGCGCG
rnacentral:rRNA from 1 species